rnacentral:rRNA from 1 species
GACGAACGUUGGCGGCGUGCUUAAUACAUGCAAGUCAACUGAAGCACCGGUAGUAAUACUGGUGUGGAGGUGGCGCACGGGUGAGUAACACGUAGGUAAUCUGCCUUCAGGUCUGACAUAACCCCGAGAAAUCGGGCUAAUAGCAGAUGAUGCAGCGGCUUGACAUCAAAGACAGUUGUUAAAGCUUCGGCGCCUGAAGAUGAGCCUGCGUCUGAUUAGCUAGUUGGCGGAGUAAUGGCCCACCAAGGCUACGAUCAGUAACUGGUCUGAGAGGAUGAUCAGUCACACUGGAACUGAGACACGGUCCAGACUCCUACGGGAGGCAGCAGUAAGGAAUAUUGCUCAAUGGGAGAAAUCCUGAAGCAGCAACGCCGCGUGAGGGAUGAAGGGCUUUUGCUCGUAAACCUCUGUAGUGAGGGAAAAAAUUUCCACUCUGUGAAUAUGAUGGUACCU